rnacentral:rRNA from 1 species
ACACGACUACAUUAGAUACCCCCGUAGUCCCAGCCGUAAACGAUACUCGCUAGGUGUCGGCCACGGUGCGACCGUUGUCGGUGCCGUAGGGAAGCCGUGAAGCGAGCCACCUGGGAAGUACGGCCGCAAGGCUGAAACUUAAAGGAAUUGGCGGGGGAGCACAACAACGGGUGGAGCUUGCGGUUUAAUUGGAUUCAACGCCGGAAAUCUUACCGGGACCGACAGCAACAUGAAGGCCAAGCUGAAGACUUUGCCGGAUUAGCUG